ACGGAUAUAGCUUAAGUGGUAAAGCAACUUCACUUUUUUGCAAGUAACGGCUAGUGAAAGCAAACGAGUACAACCGGUCUACCGGAAGUACAUACAAUAAGUGAAGAAAGAUGCGGGUUCGAAUCCUGCUAUCCGUA
rnacentral:tRNA from 1 species